rnacentral:rRNA from 1 species
ACUCCUGCGGGAGGCAGCAGUGGGGAAUUUUGGACAAUGGGCGAAAGCCUGAUCCAGCAAUGCCGCGUGAGUGAAGAAGGCCUUCGGGUUGUAAAGCUCUUUUGUCAGGGAAGAAACGGUGAAAGCUAAUAUCUUUUGCUAAUGACGGUACCUGAAGAAUAAGCACCGGCUAACUACGUGCCAGCAGCCGCGGUAAUACGUAGGGUGCAAGCGUUAAUCGGAAUUACUGGGCGUAAAGCGUGCGCAGGCGGUUUUGUAAGUCUGAUGUGAAAUCCCCGGGCUCAACCUGGGAAUUGCAUUGGAGACUGCAAGGCUAGAAUCUGGCAGAGGGGGGUAGAAUUCCACGUGUAGCAGUGAAAUGCGUAGAUAUGUGGAGGAACACCGAUGGCGAAGGCAGCCCCCUGGGUCAAGAUUGACGCUCAUGCACGAAAGCGUGGGGAGCAAACAGGAUUAGAAACCCGUGUAGUCCCAUG